UUUCCAUCGUCAUCGUCAUCAUCAUUCCCAUCAUGAUCAUUGCCCAAGGUGAGUUGUUGCUAAAGACUCAAGCCCCCUGGGGAAGGCCAUAAUUCAUGGAUCUUUUUCUGAAUACAGUUUAAAUUAAGAUAAAAGAAAGGGAGAAACGAGGAGGCACGGGAAGGCUGCAGGCUGAGUCGGUGGAAUAGAAAGCAAGGGGAAGAGGUUAGGGCCAGAAAGGCAGCUUUACAGCUCAUAAUUUCACUGGUUGACUUGACUUGGGCAGCACAGGCUGGUAGAACACACUCUAGCCUGACUUCAUUGAAGUCCCAGCACCACCACCACUAAGCCAUGUAGCUUUGGGCAGGUCACUUGACUUGUUCCUCCAGUUGAAAUCUCUCAUGAGAUUCAAACCCAGCAAUGCACCCAAAUGUUUCGUACGUGCCCCAAAGCAACAUGUACAAAUACAAACUCAUCUUCCUCUUCUCCAGACCUGCCAUCUCUGUAUUAGUGAAAUGAUACCACUGUCUUCCCAGGGAUCAAGGCAGGACACCUACAAGUCAUCUCAGACCUGGCUGCAAUGUCUUACCCAUGGUGAUUGCCACAGUGAGUCACCUGGCUGGUGAAGCCUACAUCCUCUGCCUCUUUCUCUGCUAUGAAAGGGAAGAACUUGGUUUAAAUUGGGAUAUUUCUGAAGAGAAGAAUCAGUUUCCCAAAUGGCAAGUCCUGGACCCAGAGAAGUCAUGUCCAGAAGUGCCUAAUGGAAAGAAAAUAUUCAGACUUCAAGCCAACAGUUGUUCCCGGGAACAAUACCUUCCUGCAAAGAGGAGCCCCUGUCAUGAUGAACCCGUUGCUUUAGAGUAGUGCUGUCCAAUAGAACUUUCUGUGAUAAUGAAAAUGUUCUUUUUUAAAAAAACAAGACAAAACAAAACAAUUUUUAUUUUUGGUUCAGGGAUUCAUGCGAAAAUUUGUUACAUAGGUAAACUCAUGUCAUGAGGUUUGUUGUACAGAUUAUUUCAUCACGCAGGUAUUAAGCCCAAUACUCAAUUGCUAUCUUUUCAGCUCCUCUCCCUCCUCUCACCCUCUACCCUCAAUUAGAGCCCCGUAGCUGAUGUUUCCCUCUUUG
rnacentral:lncRNA from 1 species